rnacentral:rRNA from 1 species
AACAGGAUUAGAUACCCUGGUAGUCCACGCCGUAAACGAUGCCGACUAGCCGUUGGGCCCUUUCGAGGGCUUCGUGGCGCAGCUAACGCGAUAAGUCGGCCGCCUGGGGAGUACGGCCGCAAGGUUAAAACUCAAAUGAAUUGACGGGGGCCCGCACAAGCGGUGGAGCAUGUGGUUUAAUUCGAUGCAACGCGAAGAACCUUACCUACCCUUGACAUCCUCAGAAUUUGUCAGAGAUGACUUAGUGCCUUCGGGAACUGAGAGACAGGUGCUGCAUGGCUGUCGUCAGCUCGUGUUGUGAAAUGUUGGGUUAAGUCCCGUAACGAGCGCAACCCUCGCCCUUAGUUGCCAUCGGGUCAUGCCGGGAACUCUAGGGGGACUGCCGGUGAUAAACCGGAGGAAGGCGGGGACGACGUCAAGUCAUCAUGGCCCUUAUGGGUAGGGCUACACACGUGCUACAAUGGCCGGUACAGAGGGCUGCGUACUUGCAAAAGUAAGCCAAUCCCACAAAGCCGGUCCUAGUCCGGAUUGGGGUCUGCAACUCGACCCCAUGAAGUCGGAAUCGCUAGUAAUCGCGGAUCAGAAUGCCGCGGUGAAUACGUUCCCGGGCCUUGUACACACCGCCCGUCACACCAUGGGAGUGGGUUGCAAAAGAAGUAGGUAGUCUAACCGCAAGGAGGGCGCUUACCACUUUGUGAUUCAUGACUGGGGGUGAAGUCGUAACAAGGUAACC